rnacentral:lncRNA from 1 species
GGUAGGGGCUAGAAAACAAUCGGACAGGAAAAAGAGUUUGGAGGAUUUCUCAGCUUCUAAUUUCUCUUCUCUGAACAUUUUUCUUUUAAGAGUUCCUUUCAAAGGUUCAAAGAAGCAUAUACAUUUUUUUAAUUUUUGGAAUCUGGCUUUGAGUUCCAAAAAGAUAAAAAAAAUGAAUUGAGGUCAUUCGAUGGGUGGUGAGAUUCAAAUUCGUCGAUUUCGAUUUUCUGUUGCUGUCCUACUGAUUUGCUGCUGAACCUCGUUAAGAUUUUGGAAUCCAAAAGUGUAUUUGCUGAUUCUUCUGUAAUUAUUAUAAAGGAAAUUUGCAAUUUCAGGUUCGAUUUCUUCUCCUAUGUGACUCUGUUCUUUAAGUGUUCUUGAGCUAUGAGAUUCUGUCUAGAGUGGUUUGUUUCGUUAUGUGAUCAAAUUUCAUGAAGGAGUCGAGCUGGGUUUAUCAUUUAGUCCCGAUUCGUAGUCGAAAAUGAUUUUUGAUAUGUUAUUUUGCCAAUGAAUCCUUUCUCACUGGUUUGACGCGUUGAGCAUUUUCAGUCAAUAAGAGCUGAUUUGAAUAGUCGUCUUCCAUUCCCUGUAUGUUAUAACUGUAAUUCGGGCUCGAAAUAUAUUUUGAGUCAACAUUUCAUCACUUUCAAAUGAACGAUGUGUUCAGUUUCUUUUUGUGAUUUUCAAGUGAGCAUGAAUCUAUGACGCUUAUUCGCGAGAUGUUUGUGUUUUUGGACUCUAAAUGAUUUGUUUUUGUGAAAUCUUCCUCAUUUACUAGAAGUUUUAAACUAGAAUCACUCUAUUGCUUGAACAAUUGGUUUGUUAAGUGUUGUUGUUCAGAAUUUUUGGUCAUUUUGUUAAGGAAUGAUCGCUUCAUAAGAUGAGUUUUCCCUGUGUAUCCUUGUCACAUAUGGAACUGCACUACGACCUUUAUGUUUAGGAAUGGUAACUUUGCUACUUUUGUCACUAAUUCUUUGGCAUUCUAUUGUCUUUCUCUUUGAGAUUGUAAAGGUUUGGGCUGCAUAUCUAAAGCUUAGAAAUCAUAGUUAAUUGGCAACAUGACCGCGUUUCCUAUUCCGCUUUGUUAGUUGGUCGACAACAGUAUUUAGCUAGAUUUAUCCUUUAAAAAUCACGCUCAGUUUCUUGUGUUACAAACUGCUUGAUAACUUUCUCAUGGUUCUUUGGGAUGUGGUGGACAAGGAAUGCCCAGAUUUGAACUACCUCAUUUCUAUGAACUUUGAGAAGAGCUUUCCAUUAUGAUUGUUUGUCUUGGAUGUGCAAGCUGUUAAUGAGUUCACUCAUGGCUGUGAUUGAUGUUCUAUUAUCUACCUUUGAGUUAUGUUUCAUUUGGUCAUCGAUAAGUUUGACAGAGGCUCGUUUAAAUUUACUAUUGUUAGUUGAAAUUCCAUAACUGGUGCAUUCAAGUGCUAUUUUUAGAAAGUGUCAUUUGUUUUUCUCUCUUUGAAAUGAGUUUAUGAUGGAUGGUUUGAUAUCUUUUCUGUUAGGGGUUUGGUUAUCGUCACCUUGAUUUGGAUUAAUCAAUGUUAAUUAUGUCAACACCCCAACAACUUCUUUGUUUAUUUAAUGUCAG